CCGGUAUAUAACUCACCGCAGCCCGCUGCAGCGUCAUUCUCGCUUUCUUCCCCGUGAAGAUUGUGGAAGCUGUACUCGACUGACGCAUUAUUGGAUUUACCGUUCAACUGUUUACGGACGAAGGUGACCGGCGACGUCGCAAACGCGGUGUGUAUGAUUGAACAUUCUCUUAAGAAUAUGAGAAAAGACGGUCAAACAUCCAUGAAGAAUCCCACAGCAGCCAAUUAAAACGCUGCCCAACUGAGAAGACCAUUUCUUCUGGGCAACUGCAGGUUCUUUUGUGGUUGCCAUGACGAAGAUUCUUUAAUGACGUCGUCGCUGCC
rnacentral:lncRNA from 1 species